CCUACGGGAGGCAGCAGUGAGGAAUAUUGGUCAAUGGGCUUACGCCUGAACCAGCCAAGUCGCGUGAGGGAAGACUGCCCUAUGGGUUGUAAACCUCUUUUGUCAGGGAGCAACGCCGGCUACGUGUAGCCGGACUGAGAGUACCUGAAGAAAAAGCAUCGGCUAACUCCGUGCCAGCAGCCGCGGUAAUACGGAGGAUGCGAGCGUUAUCCGGAUUUAUUGGGUUUAAAGGGUGCGUAGACGGUUAUGUAAGUCUGGAGUGAAAGCCCGGGGCCCAACCCCGGGACUGCUUUGGAAACUGUGUAACUGGAGUACAGGAGGGGCAGGCGGAAUUCCUGGUGUAGCGGUGAAAUGCGUAGAUAUCAGGAGGAACACCGGCGGCGAAGGCGGCCUGCUGGACUGAAACUGACGUUGAGGCUCGAAAGCGUGGGGAGCAAACAGGAUUAGAUACCCCAGUAGUC
rnacentral:rRNA from 1 species